UUUCUUCUCUUAAACAUCUUACUUUGUAAUUAGUGUUAAAAUUGAAAGUUUUAAGACCCCAAAGACAUCUGCACCGAUAUCCAAUUGAAAGAUGAUAGCAUAGUAUAUGAAAGGUGUCAUUAUUUUGUUAGAAGAGAGACUACGCUGUCAUGUAAUGCUUUAUGAUAAUUUAAAUAGAUAAUAUUCAGGAGAAUUACUACGGGAUUUGAAUUAAUUACGUUAAGGAACUAAUUAUGAAGCAUGGUGACCA
rnacentral:lncRNA from 1 species